UACGGGGGGGGCAAGCGUUGUUCGGAAUUACUGGGCGUAAAGGGCUCGUAGGCGGCCAACUGAGUCAGACGUGAAAUCCCUCGGCUUAACCGGGGAACUGCGUCUGAUACUGGAUGGCUUGAGUUUGGGAGAGGGAUGCGGAAUUCCAGGUGUAGCGGUGAAAUGCGUAGAUAUCUGGAGGAACACCGGUGGCGAAGGCGGCAUCCUGGACCAACACUGACACUGAGGAGCGAAAGCCAGGGGAGCAAACGGG
rnacentral:rRNA from 1 species